rnacentral:rRNA from 1 species
GCGCGAAAACUUUACAAUGCUGGCAACAGCGAUAAGGGAACCUCGAGUGCCAGGUUACAAAUCUGGCUGUCGAGAUGCCUAAAAAGCAUUUCAUAGCAAGGGCCGGGCAAGACCGGCGCCAGCCGCCGCGGUAACACCGGCGGCUCGAGUGGUAACCGUUAUUAUUGGGUCUAAAGGGUCUGUAGCCGGCCGGAUAGGUCUCUUGAGAAAUCUGGCAGCUUAACUGUCAGGCUUUCAGGAGAUACUGUCUGGCUCGAGGCCGGGAGAGGUGAGAGGUACUUCAGGGGUAGGGGUGAAAUCUUGUAAUCCUUGAAGGACCACCAGUGGCGAAGGCGGCUCACCAGAACGGACCUGACGGCAAGGGACGAAAGCUAGGGGCACGAACCG